rnacentral:rRNA from 1 species
CCUACGGGUGGCAGCAGUGAGGAAUAUUGGUCAAUGGUCGGGAGCCUGAACCAGCCAAGCCGCGUGAAGGAUGAAGGUCCAGCGGGUCGUAAACCUCUUUUAUCAGGGAACAAAGCGUGGUACGCGUCCCCGUUUGAGUGUACCUUAUGAAAAAGCAUCGGCUAACUCCGUGCCAGCAGCCGCGGUAAUACGUAGGGACCGAGCGUUGUCCGGAUUUAUUGGGCUUAAAGGGCGCGUAGAUGGGCGCUUAAGUCAGUUGUGAAAGCUUCGGGCUCAACCGGGAGACUGCAAUUGAAACUGGGUGCCUUGAGUGCAGUAGAGGAAAGGGGAAUUCGUAGUGUAGCGGUGAAAUGCGUAGAUAUCACGAGGAACACCAGUUGCGAAGGCGACUUUCUGGACUGCAACUGACGUUGAGGCGCGAAAGUGUGGGUAGCGAACGGGAUUAGAUACCCGAGUAGUC